CGCCCCUACGGGACGCAGCAGUAGGGAAUCUUCCACAAUGGGCGAAAGCCUGAUGGAGCAACGCCGCGUGGGUGAAGAAGGUCUUCGGAUCGUAAAACCCUGUUGUUAGAGAAGAAAGUGCGUGAGAGUAACUGUUCACGUUUCGACGGUAUCUAACCAGAAAGCCACGGCUAACUACGUGCCAGCAGCCGCGGUAAUACGUAGGUGGCAAGCGUUAUCCGGAUUUAUUGGGCGUAAAGGGAGCGCAGGCGGCGCGGUAAGUCUGAUGUGAAAGCCCGGGGCUCAACCCCGGGACUGCAUUGGAA
rnacentral:rRNA from 1 species